AACGAGGCCGACCUGCGGCUGAGUUACCUGCGGAAGGAUCAUUACCGAGUGAGGGCCUCCGGGUCCGACCUCCAACCCCAUGUCAUCUGACCCUGUUGCCUCGGGGGCGACCCGGCCCUCUUGGGCGUCGGGGCCCCCGGUGGACCACAAACACUGCAUCUUUGCGUCGGAGUGAUAAUCAAAUCAAUCAAAACUUUCAACAACGGAUCU
rnacentral:misc_RNA from 1 species